rnacentral:lncRNA from 1 species
UAUAUCUACUUGCGGCUCUUUUUCUACCCAAAUCUAUCAUAAAAUCCAAAUCCCACUACAUUCCUUACUACCUCCCUUUUCUCUUCAAGAAAAACUGCUACUUUUGUCAAACUUGUAAUCUCAAAUAAAAAUUUAAGUUAGAAAGAAAAUAUACCGAUAAAUAGUACCUCGCGUUCCAAGAAAAGUAAAGACUUCUAAAUUGAG